rnacentral:snoRNA from 1 species
UUUACCCUGAAUCAAGGCUAGCAGUUUGCUGAAGCUGUUGGUUUCAAGCAGGAGCAUAUAUAUUGCCUGUUGGCUAUUUCAGAACUUUAGAAAUGUAGUGGUCAAUCCAUUAGAAAAAGC